GGACACAACAAGGAUGGGACACUUGUUGGAACUCAUGACAUUUUCACCAUUGUUAGUGACGUUACCUGAGUUCACGCCUUGGUGACUGUGGAUGAAGUGAAGCUUGUGGCAAGAUCACAGUCUCCCUGGAGGGAGUAAUGUCCAUACCAGUUGUGCCAGUCAGGUGCAGCAGCAGAGCCAUAGUAAGCCUGUUCAGCUGGGGCAUGCUGCUGGUGGAGGAGCACCUCCCGCCCAGGGUGGCCAGCCCCGGGGUGCCCGGCGGGGGGAAUGACGUGAUUGAUGCCCCCAAGCCUCUGGAUGAUCGACGGGUUGAACUGGUAGGUGAGUUUGCGGCGCACCUUUACGAUCUCGCCCGUUCGGCUGUAGUUGCGCAGCGCCCGUGCCAUCUUCUGAUAGGUCAUGGUCUUGCGGUUGCCCUUACGCUUGCCCCAGCACUCGGCCAACUUCUCUUUGUUCUUGGAGAUGAAGUGGAAGGUGCCGCUGCCACGGUCCGUCCACUGGAUGGAGUCAGCCGUGUUGGGAUCGCCCAGAGCCUCAUGCAGGUACUCAUAAAGACGCAGCUUCUUGCGACCUGAUGAGAUGAAAAGGUUGACUUUAGUUAUAUUAAAAUCAUAAACAGGCAGAGAUUCAGUUGUAACGAUGUCAAUUUGAUACUUUCCAAUCAAAAAUCUGAGGUAGUAGAAACAUGUUCAAUUCCAGCAUGUGUAGUUGUACUCUCUGAAAUCUCUUACAGACAUUGUCAACACUCAUCGCUGAUGGCCAAACACUGCUCACCUUUGCCGCUCCUCGGUGGCGGUGUGAUGGAGUAGAACUGGGGGUAGUCCAUGGUCACAGAUGGACCCAGUGAGCCGUAAGGAACAACAUGAGGCCAUGACUGGCAGGACGAGGAGAGAAUAACUGGUCAGGUCAGUCACAUCCACAUGAGACAUGACACAUACAUGUACUGUAACCUUACAUCACGGUUGUGCAAACUUGGAGAAGUCAGUCAAUAGUACUACACUGGUAAAAUACAAUCACUUGUUCUGUACACUCACCGUCUGCUCAUUCCAGUCAUAUGGCCCUGGCACAUCAGAAGGGUGGGUGAUGGGGUAGCAGCACAUUAUGCUCGAUCGCAUUGGAGGCUCAAAGUACUUAUACUCUAAGUAGUGGGAGAAAAAUAUAGUCAUUGAAUAGUCUUCACUGCCAGAACCAAUGAGACUAAAAUGUAUUGAAUCAUUUUUCUGACAUGCUCAAUACAAAGAAAAUAUUAACAAUAAUGUCCGUGCCUAAAAUAAUGAUGGUGAUUGUUAGCGUUCAGAUUUAAAUCUGGUUUUCUGGCAUGAGUGUUGAAGUGUAAGUUCACCUGUAUCACAAUACGGAUCGUCAGAGUGCCGUUGAAUCACAUCAAUUGCAUCCUGGAAGUGCUGGUUGAUGUCAUUAUCCAGGGAGAUCUAGGAAAACAUCAAUAACAUGCAAUCAACUACAAUGUCGUAAUUAGGAGAAAAGUUAAGCUACAGAAUGAAUAGGAAUAAAUGCCUUAUUCGAAAACAACAUGGAAUGUAUUUAAAAUUAAACUAAAUUGAUCUUCAAUCCGUCAUGACUCACCAUUUUGUAUAUUUGAGUGUAAACUUCAGACAAGGCAAGCAGUGUCUGACCACUGUCUGUGUGAGAUGGAUGUACUUGUGCAAGUGUAUAUAUAGUGGUGUAAGCCCCAAUAUUCACCUUUCGGCUAAAACGAAGCGUCAGAUAAAGAGAUUGGUCUAUUUAAAUGUGUCAACGUCAAUUUGUGGUUGGCAACACUUCUCUUUUUGGAAGAGCAGAUCAGAUACACCUCCCACAAUCACUCUUUCACACUGUUACUAGAUCAGAUCACAUGAAGAUCACAUGAACAACAAUAACCUCUCUUAUGACUUAAUUUAUCCAGGAAUAUCUUCCAAUAGCAUUCUAAUUAGCAUUUUUGGGUAGAUAUUUAUUAACAUACAUAUUAUCUUAUCAUAAAUGCUCUUCAGUAAAUAUAGACUUUACUGUAAAUUGAAAUCUGAGACCCUUGAACUGCUGGGGGAAAUGUGUAUAUAAUUUCCAUGAUAUCUUCUGUGUUUUAAGUGUAUUGUAUGACAUGGCUAACACUUACAGAGCCUAUAGAAAGUCUACUCUCCCUUUCACUUUAUUUUCACAAUAUGAUGCGCUAGAAAGUGGGGUUGAAAUAGAUUUAAUUGUCAUUCUUUGUCAUUGAUCUAUGCAAAAUGCUCCAUAAUGUCAAAGUGAAAAGAAAAUUCUACACAUUUUUACAAAUUAAUAAAAUUGAAUGACUAAAAUAUAGUCGUUGCAUUUCAAGCACAUAUUCAAAUACAAAGACCAGGGAGAUUUUUGAAAGCCUAAUAAAGAAGGUCAGUGCUUGGUAGAUGGGCAACAAUAACAAAUCAGACAUUGAAUAUAUCUUUAAGCAUAGUCAAGUUAAUAGUAAUGCUGUGGAUGAUGUAUUAAACCACCCAGACACAUCAAAGAUGCAGUCGUCCUUUUGAACUGAACUGAGGACAGGAAGGAAACUGCUUAGGGACGUCACCACGAGGCCAUUGGUGAUUUUUAAAACAGCUACAGAGUUCAAUGGCUGUGAUGGGAGAAAACAGGAUGGGUCAACGUUGUAGUGACUCCACAAUAAUUACCUAAAUGAUAGAGCAAAAAGAAGAAUAAAAUAUACAGAAUAUGCAUCCUGUUUUCAACAAGGCGCUAAAGUAA